rnacentral:lncRNA from 1 species
CGGUGAACCAGAGAGGAAGGAAGCUGCUCUUUGGGGGAUGGUGAAUGCACCUCUCCCUCCUCCGGAGAGAUCUCAAAAGAGAGUGGUUUUCUCUAUCUCUGGGUCCCAGGAGGGCAUGGAGAGUCGCGGACGGCCCAACACUGGACCUCACUCAUCCUCCUCCUCCACCAGCUGGCAUCAGUGGGUGGUUCAAGAGCAUCAACAAAGGCCCUACUCAUGCACUCUCUGCCAACCUGUGGAACCAGGUAAGCGUUUUACCACACACUCAGACCCUUCUCCGGUCAGCUUACAAGCCGCCUGAGUUGGGUCCCUGCGUUCCACCUUGCUGCCCCACUGCAGGUACGGCGGUGGUUCUGUUGGUCCCGUUUUCACAGUGUCUGGGUGCCUGGUACCCAGCCCGUCUCGCUAGCUUCUGCAGACCAUCUGCCUCGGCUAUGCAAUUCAGUUUGCCCGGCAUCUCGCCCAAGCUCAGCAGCAUCUGCUUCACUACAGUGAAGGCAGCCGAUACUCCUGUCUUGCAUGUGGAGAUCACAGUCCUACUGGUGAAGGAUGUGAUGGGGCCGGUCCCUCCAGUCGAUAUGAGGACGGGGUUUUACAGCCCUUACUUCAUUGUACCCAAGAAAGGCGGUGGGUUACGACCAAUCUUAGAUCUGCGUGUCUUGAACCGGGCCCUUCAUCGGUUACCGUUCAAGAUGUUAACACAGAGUGUGCCGAGUCUGUCCAUUCCUGAGAUUUGUUUGCAUCAAUCGACCUCAUUGUCACCUUGCGCCACAGCUGCUGUACCACCGCUGAGUUGCCGGGUCACUUGGCUCCUCAGCGAAAACCUGGUAUGCAUUGCACCUGCUGCCUUUUUAUGCUCACGCUGUGAUCAGCUGCAGCUGGAUGCAAUAAUCGCAUGUGCAUUGGCUCGUUUAGUUUACCCACUCGAAGUAGUUUGGUCUCUCGAAGCGAGAUUCCAAUUCGUCAGUCACCGACAUGACAUCUCAGUUCCGUUCCCUCCU